UACAGAGGUCUCAAGCGUUGUUCGGAUUCAUUGGGCGUAAAGGGUGCGUAGGCGGCGCGGUAAGUCGGGUGUGAAAUCUUGGAGCUUAACUCCGAAACUGCAUUCGAUACUGCCGUGCUUGAGGACUGGAGAGGAGACUGGAAUUUACGGUGUAGCGGUGAAAUGCGUAGAUAUCGUAAGGAAGACCAGUGGCGAAGGCGGGUCUCUGGACAGUUCCUGACGCUGAGGCGCGAAGGCUAGGGGGAGCAAACGGGG
rnacentral:rRNA from 1 species